AAGCCAGAAUCAGGUUCACUUUCGAACCAAAAUAAACUGAUUCGGGCCAGGCUAUCUUGGGCUCAAUAUGGUUCAUAAUUUACAAAUCCUUGAUUCCCACAGCGCGCUUGACCGGAAGAAUCAGUGUUCAGAUACAAUUGGGAGGAAAGUCAGAAUCAGUUUAUAACUGGGAAUCCUGCAAUCUCAGUUUAAUAUACAGAAGAAGGGGAAAGCUUAAUUAAAACUUGGAAGUUCAGAACGAAGGAAAGAUUGAAUCGAGCAGAAGAGUGACAGAGAUGAUCAAUUCCUUCCUUGUGGCCUCUACAAUUGACGAUCAAUCGCUUUAGGUGUCAUGAUGUGGUACUUUGAAUUAGUACAGCUGAAGAUGUUCCCACUUCAUCUGACCCCAUAAGAUUGUUAUCUUUUGUAUCAAUCAAGACUAUAAAAACAAUAUUUAGAAUAUAAUUGGAUCUCGGGUAUCACUUUAUGCUCAUAAAAUUAGCCAGGAAAGCUACUUAUUUAUGUGUAGCUUUUGAAGAAAUUGAAGGAAUGGCUCAUCUAUUAGCUUUUGAAUAAAGGCUUAUUCUCAA